rnacentral:lncRNA from 1 species
GUUCUUUUUUGUAACUUUUUGAUCAAUGUAAAAAUCUAAUAUCCCCAGUUUCCAUUCACCUUGUAAUUGUAAAACUUCAUUUAAACACACUUUGAACUUGAACGGUGAAUUAUUAGGGUAAUAUGCAUCUGAUUGAUCACUUCGAAUGAAAAUUAUAUGUUCCAUUAUGAUAAAGAUUGAAUUUGUUCUUCUGGUAUGUAUUCGUCGUACGAAGGAGGCCACCCUUGAAAACGAACCAAGUACUCAGUUUUUCCUCGUCUUUUUCUCUUCUUUAUAAUUUUUUCAAUUAUCCAAAGACUAUUUUCAUCUUUCUCUACUCGUUGGAGCUCACUAACAUAAAAGGUCCCCCUUAUAAAUUCAUCUCCUUUUAUAUUUGAAACCCUGUAAAGAUCGAUAUUUUGUUGUCUAAAUCUUUGCACCACUUUGAAUAUCUCUUCAGUCCAUCUUUGGCUAUAAGAUCGAUC